rnacentral:rRNA from 1 species
GAUGAACGCUAGCGGCAGGCCUAACACAUGCAAGUCGAGGGGCAGCACAGAAAUUCAGCAAUGAGUUUUGGUGGCGACCGGCAGACGGGUGCGUAACGCGUGUGCAACCUACCCUUAACAGGGGAAUAACGGAGGGAAACUUCCACUAAUACCCCAUAAAAUCCCAAGAGGCAUCCCCUGGGGUUGAAAGCUCCGGCGGCUAAGGAUGGGCACGCGUUGUAUUAGAUUGUUGUUGAGGUAACGGCUCACCAAGUCUACGAUACAUAGGGGGACUGAGAGGUUAACCCCCCACACUGGUACUGAGACACGGACCAGACUCCUACGGGAGGCAGCAGUGAGGAAUAUUGGUCAAUGGACGCAAGUCUGAACCAGCCAUGCCGCGUGCAGGAAGACGGCUCUAUGAGUUGUAAACUGCUUUUGCAAGAGGAUAAUUGCGGGUACGUGUACCCGCUUGAAGGUACCUUGCGAAUAAGGAUCGGCUAACUCCGUGCCAGCCGCCGCGGUAA